rnacentral:rRNA from 1 species
CGCUGGCGGCAUGCCUUACACAUGCAAGUCGAACGGCAGCACGGGAGCAAUCCUGGUGGCGAGUGGCGAACGGGUGAGUAAUAUAUCGGAACGUGCCCAGUCGUGGGGAUAACGUAGCGAAAGCUACGCUAAUACCGCAUACGAUCUAUGGAUGAAAGCGAGGGAUCGCAAGACCUCGCGCGAUUGGAGCGGCCGAUAUCAGAUUAGGUAGUUGGUGAGGUAAAGGCUCACCAAGCCGAUGAUCUGUAGCUGGUCUGAGAGGACGACCAGCCACACUGGGACUGAGACACGGCCCAGACUCCUACGGGAGGCAGCAGUGGGAAUUUUGGACAAUGGGCGCAAGCCUGAUCCAGCAAUGCCGCGUGCAGGAUGAAGGCCUUCGGGUUGUAAACUGCUUUUGUACGGAACGAAACGGUGAGCUCUAAUACAGUUUGCUAAUGACGGUACCGUAAGAAUAAGCACCGGCUAACUACGUG